AGGAGAGUUUGAUCCUGGCUCAGGAUGAACGCUGGCGGCGUGCCUAACACAUGCAAGUCGAACGGAGAUUUAACGCUGAUGAAGCUUCGGCAGAUUCUUGUUAAAUCUUAGUGGCGGACGGGUGAGUAACGCGUGGGCAACCUGCCUCAUACUGGGGGAUAACAGCUGGAAACGACUGUUAAUACCGCAUAAGCGCACGGUAUCGCAUGAUACAGUGUGAAAAACUCCGGUGGUAUGAGAUGGGCCCGCGUCAGAUUAGCCAGUUGGCAGGGUAACGGCCUACCAAAGCGACGAUCUGUAGCCGGCCUGAGAGGGCGGACGGCCACAUUGGGACUGAGACACGGCCCAAACUCCUACGGGAGGCAGCAGUGGGGGAUAUUGCACAAUGGAGGAAACUCUGAUGCAGCGACGCCGCGUGAGUGAAGAAGUAUUUCGGUAUGUAAAGCUCUAUCAGCAGGGAAGAAAGACUCGUAAGAGAGAUGACGGUACCUGACUAAGAAGCCCCGGCUAACUACGUGCCAGCAGCCGCGGUAAUACGUAGGGGGCAAGCGUUAUCCGGAUUUACUGGGUGUAAAGGGAGCGCAGACGGCUUAGCAAGUCUGAAGUGAAACCCCACGGCUCAACCGUGGGCUUGCUUUGGAAACUGUUAGGCUAGAGUACUGGAGAGGUAAGCGGAAUUCCUAGUGUAGCGGUGAAAUGCGUAGAUAUUAGGAGGAACAUCGGUGGCGAAGGCGGCUUACUGGACAGCAACUGACGUUGAGGCUCGAAGGCGUGGGGAGCAAACAGGAUUAGAUACCCUGGUAGUCCCCU
rnacentral:rRNA from 1 species